UAUUCAAAGACAGUAACUUUAGAGGGAUUUUCAGUUGCUAUGACACAGUUGCUUGGAAUUAAUCUGGGAUUGACAUAUGAUGACAUCUACAACUGUAACUGUCCAGGAGCUACAUGCGUAAUGAAUUCUAAGGCAAUAUACAUAAAAGAGGACAUGUUUGCAGGAAAAGCAUAGAUCUGUGUGGUUUUACAGAAUAUUACAAUGGAACAUCUGAGUUUUGUGUACCUGAUGUGAAAUCUGCUGAUUAUGAGCUAUGCAAUAAGACUGCCUAUUGUCUUAGAGGAAUAUUCCAAGAUAGGGAUGGACAGUGCAUGCAAUUAUUUGGACAAUUUGCUCAGGGUGCUCCUUAUCUGUGUUCACAAGAAGUGAAUUUGCAUGCCAACAAUUUUGGAAACUGUAAAACUAGUUCCUAUAAUUUCGAACGUGUCCUUUGUGCAAAGCUAGUUUGUCACUGGAAAAGUACAGAACUAAUACGACAUAAAGAUGAUGAUGCUUAAUAUACUUACCUUGGAAACCAUGUAUGUGUGUCUACAUUUUUACGAAAUUCAUGUGGUAGCAUAAAGGAUAACUCCUAUGUAAAAAAUGGUACUUUUUGUGGUCUAGAAAAGUUAUGUGAUAAUGGAGUUUGCCAACUUGUGAGCACAUAUGCAGAUAGAAGACAAGGUAACUCGGAAGAAAAAUGCGGUGGACAUGGGGUUUGCAAUACUCUGAAUAAUUGUCAACGUGAUGUUGCAUAUUCUCCUUAAACUUGUAGGCAAGAUAGUUCAUCACCAGGAGGAAGUAUUGAUGAUGGGUUUUGGAUUUUAGGAAAAAGUACACCCUUGUUUGUGAAAUGACAUGCUGUUCCUCAGAAAAACGGCCUUUAAUCAGUUGCUACAUUUUUCUACCUUUCCUCAUUUUAACUGCCAUCAUUGGUCUUAAAUGGAACAAAAUGAAGAGAUUUUGGCACUGAGCAAAAAGUGUAAGUGGAAGUUCUACAUCAGAAGACAGCAGUAGUAGCAGCAACAGUAACAGCAGUAGUGACAGCAACCAGUCAUAGAGGUAAUAACUACAUGAUAACAUCAAAAGCCAUAAGAUAGAGAAAGGAUAUUACCAAGAAACUUACCAUUAACUGGCUUGAUUCAACAAUGAAAACAAAAAUCGCCUUUUUUCUCCUUUCAUUAUGGCUUAAAGCUUUCAAUUGCACAAACAAAAUAAAUUCUAUGACAGGAAGU
rnacentral:sRNA from 1 species